rnacentral:rRNA from 1 species
AUGUACAGCUUUUUGGGCAAAACUUUUAAAAGGGAAGUUGAUGUAUAUGUUGUUAUGCGUAGGGGUAGUCCCUUGGCACAAGCUAGGGAUGAUAGAUGUUGCUUCAUUGUUUUGUUGGACAAAAUGGAAGAAAGAAAUGUUGUGAUGAUGAGUCGAAACCUGGGUGCAAAGGGUGGCCGUAGUUCAUCUUUCUGGAAAAGGGAGGCAUGCACCGCACAGCAGGUUGUUAUUAGUAUUAUCAGUAACUCUGCGGGGAUGAUGUUCUGUUGGACCGUAGCCGUGUCGAUUCGGUUAGGGUAUGAGAAAUAUAUAUUGCCCUGGUGGUUAUUGUAA